UAUCACGUUUAAGUACCGGUUCUCGAACGAUCACCGAAGUUAAGCAACGUUGAGCCUGGUCAGUACCCAGAUGGCUGACCGUUUGAGAAUUCCAGCUGCUGUAAG